CCUACGGGAGGCAGCAGUGGGGAAUUUUGGACAAUGGGGGCAACCCUGAUCCAGCCAUGCCGCGUGCAGGAUGAAGGCCUUCGGGUUGUAAACUGCUUUUGUACGGAACGAAAAGACUCUGGUUAAUACCUGGGGUCCAUGACGGUACCGUAAGAAUAAGCACCGGCUAACUACGUGCCAGCAGCCGCGGUAAUACGUAGGGUGCAAGCGUUAAUCGGAAUUACUGGGCGUAAAGCGUGCGCAGGCGGUGAUGUAAGACAGAGGUGAAAUCCCCGGGCUCAACCUGGGAACUGCCUUUGUGACUGCAUCGCUGGAGUGCGGCAGAGGGGGAUGGAAUUCCGCGUGUAGCAGUGAAAUGCGUAGAUAUGCGGAGGAACACCGAUGGCGAAGGCAAUCCCCUGGGCCUGCACUGACGCUCAUGCACGAAAGCGUGGGGAGCAAACAGGAUUAGAUACCCUGGUAGUCCACGCCCUAAACGAUGUCAACUAGGUGUUGGGAGGGUAAAACCUUUUAGUACCGGAGCUAACGCGUGAAGUUGACCGCCUGGGGAGUACGGCCGCAAGGUUAAAACUCAAAUGAAUUGACGG
rnacentral:rRNA from 1 species